CCUACGGGAGGCAGCAGUGGGGAAUAUUGCACAAUGGGGGGAACCCUGAUGCAGCAACGCCGCGUGGGUGAAGAAGUACUUCGGUAUGUAAAGCCCUGUCAGCAGGGAAGAAAAUGACGGUACCUGACCAAGAAGCCCCGGCUAACUACGUGCGAGCAGCCGCGGGAAUACGUAGGGGGCAAGCGUUAUCCGGAUUUACUGGGUGUAAAGGGGGAGUAGACGGCAAGGCAAGUCUGGAGUGAAAGCCCGUGGCUCAACCACGGGACUGCUUUGGAAACUGUGUUGCUGGAGUGCAGGAGGGGUAAGCGGAAUGCCUAGUGUAGCGGUGAAAUGCGUAGAUAUUAGGAGGAACCCCGGUGGCGAAGGCGGCUUACUGGACUGUAACUGACGUUGAGGCUCGAAGGCGUGGGGAGCAAACAGGAUUAGAUACCCUUGUAGUC
rnacentral:rRNA from 1 species